UACGGCAAGGUGAAGGAGGUGCUGGACUCGGAGACGCUGUGCAGGAGGGCCGUCAAGAUCCUCAAGAAGAAGAAGUUGCGAAGGAUCCCCAACGGGGAGGCCAACGUGAAGAAGGAAAUUCAGCUACUGAGGAGGUUACGGCACAAAAAUGUCAUCCAGCUGGUGGAUGUGUUAUACAACGAAGAGAAGCAGAAAAUGUAUAUGGUGAUGGAGUACUGCGUGUGUGGCAUGCAGGAAAUGCUGGACAGCGUGCCGGAGAAGCGUUUCCCGGUGUGCCAGGCCCACGGGUACUUCUGUCAGCUGAUUGACGGCCUGGAGUACCUGCACAGCCAGGGCAUUGUGCACAAGGACAUCAAGCCCGGGAACCUGCUGCUUACCACCGGUGGCACCCUCAAAAUCUCCGACCUGGGCGUGGCCGAGGUAGGCACGUGCUAGGGGGGGCCCUGGGGCGCCCCCUCCCGGGCACUCCCUGAGGGCUGCACGGCACCGCCACAGGCACUGCACCCGUUCGCGGCGGACGACACCUGCCGGACCAGCCAGGGCUCCCCGGCUUUCCAGCCGCCCGAGAUUGCCAACGGCCUGGACACCUUCUCCGGCUUCAAGGUGGACAUCUGGUCAGCUGGGGUCACCCUCUACAACAUCACCACGGGUCUGUACCCCUUCGAAGGGGACAACAUCUACAAGUUGUUUGAGAACAUCGGGAAGGGGAGCUACGCCAUCCCGGGCGACUGUGGCCCCCCGCUCUCUGACCUGCUGAAAGGGAUGCUUGA
rnacentral:sRNA from 1 species